UACGUAGGGGGCAAGCGUUGUCCGGAAUCAUUGGGCGUAAAGCGCGCGUAGGCGGCCCGGUAAGUCCGUUGUGAAAGUCAAAGGCUCAACCUUUGAACGCCGAUGGAUACUGCCGGGCUAGAGUCCGGAAGAGGCGAGUGGAAUUCCUGGUGUAGCGGUGAAAUGCGCAGAGUAUCAGGAGGAACACCGGUGGCGAAGGCGG
rnacentral:rRNA from 1 species